CUUUGCAGAAGCAGAAGCUAACUUCACAGCUGUUUUUAAAAUGAAGAAACAUCCUCCAAAUAUUUGGGAGGAGAAGGCUGUAGGGUGAGAGUAAAUAACAGAUUGGACCACAUACAGAAGAUUGUAAGAAACCAAGCCAUUAAACCCCUAUUGAAAAUGGGAUUAAAAAACCCCAUGAUUGUGGUUUGAAAGAAGUUGCCUGCAGGAGCAAGAGAAUUGCUUUUACUGGAGAUCCUAAUAAGAGGUUGUCCUUGGCUUAGCUGAGCACUGAGCAGUCCCUCCACCUGUUGUGAAGUGGUUUUCUGUGAGUCACAACCAUAAUUCAGCAUCUGUAGUAUACAUUCCUUUCUCUUGCUAAUCACUGAGGAUCCUGGAAUAGUCUUUUUUCUGGAAUUUUCUUCCCAUGAAUCAAGAAUGCACUUCCCUGCAAUCAACAAUGACAACUUGUGAAGAAAAACAGAAUGAAGCCAAUGGUGUUUUGUCUAAUAAAAUUCAACAAAUGCUACAUUCAGCAAAGGAUAAGAGGGAUCCUCUAACCACUGAAGGAGUCUUACUGUAUACCAUGCAGC
rnacentral:lncRNA from 11 species